rnacentral:rRNA from 1 species
GACGAACGCUGGCGGCGUGCUUAACACAUGCAAGUCGAACGGAAAGGCCCUGCUAUGGUGGGGUUUUCGAGUGGCGAACGGGUGAGUAACAGGUGAGUAACCUGCCCAUGACUCUGGGAUAAGUUCAGGAAAUUGGGGCAAAUACCGGAUAGGAGCAUGUGCUGCAUGGAGGGCGUCGGAAAGGUUUGGCGGGUGGGGAUGGACUCGCGGCUGAUCAGCUUGUUGGUGGGGUAGUGGCUUACCAAGGCUUUGACGGGUAGCCGGCCUGAGAGGGUGACCGGCCACAUUGGGACUGAGAUACGGCCCAGACUACUACGGGAGGCAGCAGUGGGGAAUAUUGCACGAUGCGCGGAAGCAUGGUGCAGCAACGCCGCGUGAGGGGUGGCGGCCUUCGGGUUGUAAACCGCUUUCGCCUGUGACGAAGCGUGAGUGACGGUAAUGGAUAAAGAAGCACCGGCUAACUACGUG